CCGCAUCAACCUGCCGCGUCUUCCUGGUCCGCUUCGCAUCUACCCGCACAAGUAAAGAUUUGUGACUCUGUGAAGAAAAUACUAAGACAAGAGUUCCUGUAGUUUUCAGACCUCCGUUGCCUUCUGGAAUAGUCACUUGAGCAUUUAAGAGUGCCAAUUAUAACGGAGAUGGUCUCCAGGGAUUACUGACAAUUUCCUUGAUGAUAUAUGAGAGCUGCCAUUGCCCACUUGAAAUGACUGCAACACUGACAGUGACUGAAAGGAAACACAAUUGCAAAAUGAAGAUCAAAAGCCUUGAUCCUACAAGAUAAUGAAUACCUGAAGCAUCUGUUUCAGAUAAGGGC